UACGUAGGGUGCGAGCGUUAAUCGGAAUUACUGGGCGUAAAGCGUGCGCAGGCGGUUUUGUAAGACAGAUGUGAAAUCCCCGGGCUCAACCUGGGAACUGCGUUUGUGACUGCAAGACUUGAGUGCGGCAGAGGGGGGUAGAAUUCCACGUGUAGCAGUGAAAUGCGUAGAUAUGUGGAGGAACACCGAUGGCGAAGGCAGCCCCCUGGGUCAAGACUGACGCUCAUGCACGAAAGCGUGGGGAGCAAACAGG
rnacentral:rRNA from 1 species